rnacentral:lncRNA from 10 species
UCUGGGAGCACCUUGCUGUGCUGGGGCUUGGAUGUGGCUGGAGGGUGGGGCACAGCUAGGCCCACCAGUCCUCGUUCCCAGGCAUUAUGUUAAGCACUGCCCACCCCAGUUAAUCGUCACAAGCACCUGGGGUUGGGUAUUACAUGACCCUCCCCAGUUAAGAGAUGAGAAGACUGAGGCACAGGCUCUGCCCCAGACUGUUCCCUUGCUGCCCCAACACCGCCAAGGAAACUGCUCAAAGCUCUCCAGCAUCAAGGCAUCAAGUGAUUGGAAUGGACCUCAGCCAAGUGAUUGGAAUGGACCUCAGCCAAGUGUCUCCCACCUUGGACCCUUAUAAUAUCCUCUACAAGGAGCCCUCGUGCCCGCCUCUUGCCCUACACCCAACACCUAGAGGCCUACACCACUAUUCCAUUUGCUUGGCACAGUCCUGCUUCCCUUGGGUCCUGCAGUCACAGCUGGAAGGGGUAGGGGAGUCCCCUCAGGACGUAAGUCGGGGAAGGACCAGCAGGGUGCGAGUGGCACAGCUAGGCUUCAAAGUCAGAAUACAGCCAUCAGCUGAGAGC